AUUGAACGCUGGCGGCAGGCCUAACACAUGCAAGUCGAAUGGUAACAGGAAACAGCUUGCUGUUUCGCUGACGAGUGGCGGACGGGUGAGUAAUGUCUGGGAAACUGCCUGAUGGAGGGGGAUAACUACUGGAAACGGUAGCUAAUACCGCAUAACGUCGCAAGACCAAAGAGGGGGACCUUCGGGCCUCUUGCCAUCAGAUGUGCCCAGAUGGGAUUAGCUAGUAGGUGGGGUAACGGCUCACCUAGGCGACGAUCCCUAGCUGGUCUGAGAGGAUGACCAGCCACACUGGAACUGAGACACGGUCCAGACUCCUACGGGAGGCAGCAGUGGGGAAUAUUGCACAAUGGGCGCGAGCCUGAUGCAGCCAUGCCGCGUGUAUGAAGAAGGCCUUCGGGUUGUAAAGUACUUUCAGCGGGGAGGAAGGGAGUAAAGUUAAUACCUUUGCUCAUUGACGUUACCCGCAGAAGAAGCACCGGCUAACUCCGUG
rnacentral:rRNA from 1 species